rnacentral:rRNA from 1 species
UAUAUGCCUUUAAUACAUAAGUAUGCAAGGGAAACGCUUUAGUGCUAGAGGAUGGGUCUGUAUGGUAUCAGCUUGUUGGUGAGGUAAUGGCUCACCAAGGCUAUGACGCCUAACCUGGUUUGAGAGGAUGAUCAGUCACACUGGAACUGAGACACGGCCCAGACUCCUACGGGAGGCAGCAGUGGGGAAUAUUGCACAAUGGACGAAAGUCUGAUGCAGCAACGCCGCGUGGAGGAUGACACAUUUCGGUGCGUAAACUCCUUUUAUAUAGGAAGAUAAUGACGGUACUAUAUGAAUAAGCACCGGCUAACUCCGUG